CGAGGUGAAGCGCAGUCUAGUUGCGCGCUUAGCUCGCGAGACGAAGAAGCCGGAGGUUCAAAUCUUCUCACCUCGA
rnacentral:tRNA from 1 species